UGGGGAAUAUUGCACAAUGUGCGCAAGCCUGAUGCAGCCAUGCCGCGUGUGUGAAGAAGGCCUUCGGGUUGUAAAGCACUUUCAGCGGGGAGGAAGGCGGUGAGGUUAAUAACCUCAUCGAUUGACGUUACCCGCAGAAGAAGCACCGGCUAACUCCGUGCCAGCAGCCGCGGUAAUACGGAGGGUGCAAGCGUUAAUCGGAAUUACUGGGCGUAAAGCGCACGCAGGCGGUCUGUCAAGUCGGAUGUGAAAUCCCCGGGCUCAACCUGGGAACUGCAUUCGAAACUGGCAAGCUAGAGUCUUGUAGAGGGGGGUAGAAUUCCAGGUGGAGCGGUGAAAUGCGUAGAGAUCUGGAGAGAUAGCGGUGGCGAAGGCGGCCCGCUGGACAAAGAAUGAAGCUCAGGUGCGAGAGCGUGAGGAGCAAACAGG
rnacentral:rRNA from 1 species